CACGUAGGGGGCGAGCGUUGUUCGGAAUUACUGGGCGUAAAGGGCAUGUAGGCGGUUUUGUAAGCCUGGCGUGAAAUUCUGCAGCUUAACUGUAGGGCUGCGCUGGGAACUGCGAGACUGGAGUCACGGAGAGGGAGCCAGAAUUCCAGGUGUAGGGGUGAAAUCUGUAGAUAUCUGGAAGAAUACCAAUGGCGAAGGCAGGCUUCUGGCCGAUGACUGACGCUGAGGUGCGAAAGCGUGGGUAGCAAACAGGAUUAGAUACCCUGGUAGUCCACGCGGUAAACGAUGCACACUAGGUGCCGGGGCGGACGCUUCGGUGCCGGAGCCAACGUGGUAAGUGUGCCGCCUGGGGAGUAUGCUCGCAAGGGUGAA
rnacentral:rRNA from 1 species